rnacentral:rRNA from 1 species
CGGCGGUCAUAGCGUGGGGGAAACGCCCGGUCCCAUUCCGAACCCGGAAGCUAAGACCCACAGCGCCGAUGGUACUGCACCC